rfam:Tupaia chinensis contig223626, whole genome shotgun sequence.
UACUGACCUACUUCACUCUGUUUCUACUCAGGGCUCCCGGGAGCCAGGGGACACGCUGCCCCGGAAGCUGAAGCA